rnacentral:rRNA from 1 species
CAAUAGCGUAUAUUAAAGUUGUUGCAGUUAAAAAGCUCGUAGUUGGAUUUCUGGUUGAAGCGACCGGUCGGGCGUUGAUUCGUCUGCACUGGAGUCGGUUUUGGCCAUCCUCCAGGAAAGUGCGUCUGGUAUUAAGUUAUCGGGCGUAUGAUCCUGGUCUUUUACUGUGAAAAAAUUAGAGUGUUUAAAGCAGGCCUUCGCCUUGAAUACAUUAGCAUGGAAUAAUAAGAUAGGACUUUGGUCUAUUUUGUUGGUUUGCAGACCGAAGUAAUGAUUAAUAGGGAUAGUUGGGGGCACCUGUAUUGCGUUGUCAGAGGUGAAAUUCUUGGAUUUACGCAAGACAAACAGCUGCGAAAGCGUCUGCCAAGGAUGUUUUCAUUAA